UACAGAGGUCCCAAGCGUUGUUCGGAUUCAUUGGGCGUAAAGGGUGUGUAGGUGGCGCCGUAAGUCGGGUGUGAAAUUUCGGAGCUUAACUCCGAAACUGCAUUCGAUACUGCGGUGCUUGAGGACUGGAGAGGAGACUGGAAUUCAUGGUGUAGCAGUGAAAUGCGUAGAGAUCAUGAGGAAGACCAGUGGCGAAGGCGGCUCACUGGACCGGUACUGACGCUGAUGCGCGAAAGCGUGGGAGCAAACGGG
rnacentral:rRNA from 1 species